rnacentral:rRNA from 1 species
CUACCAUGCAAGUCGAGCGAGAUCUUCGGAUCUAGCGGCGGACGGGUGAGUAACGCGUGGGAACGUACCCUCUUCUGCGGGAUAGCCACUGGAAACGGUGAGUAAUACCGCAUACGCCCUUCGGGGGAAAGAUUUAUCGGAGGAGGAUCGGCCCGCGUUGGAUUAGGUAGUUGGUGGGGUAAUGGCCUACCAAGCCUACGAUCCAUAGCUGGUUUUAGAGGAUGAUCAGCCACACUGGGACUGAGACACGGCCCAGACUCCUACGGGAGGCAGCAGUGGGGAAUCUUAGACAAUGGGCGCAAGCCUGAUCUAGCCAUGCCGCGUGAGUGACGAAGGCCUUAGGGUCGUAAAGCUCUUUCGCCUGUGAUGAUAAUGACAGUAGCAGGUAAAGAAACCCCGGCUAACUCCGUGCCAGCAGCCGCGGUAAUACGGAGGGGGUUAGCGUUGUUCGGAAUUACUGGGCGUAAAGCGCACGUAGGCGGAUUGGAAAGUAUGGGGUGAAAUCCCAGGGCUCAACCCUGGAACGGCCUCAUAAACUUCCAGUCUGGAGUUCGAGAGAGGUGAGUGGAAUUCCGAGUGUAGAGGUGAAAUUCGUAGAUAUUCGGAGGAACACCAGUGGCGAAGGCGGCUCACUGGCUCGAUACUGACGCUGAGGUGCGAAAGUGUGGGGAGCAAACAGGAUUAGAUACCCUGGUAGUCCACACC